UCAUGGCACUGAUGAAUGAUAUAUGACUGAGGUCCAGUCAGAAAUCUCUCUGGAGAUGUCAGUGAGAGGGAAUUCCAUAGAGGACAUUGACCAGGUAAGACGUGUGAGAGCCAAGGGGCCCAACAGAGAAAGAAAGAGGAGAUUUCAUUAGGCUGAUUUUUCUUGGGGAAUGAGAUUAAGCAGAGCCGGUGCGCGCCUCACACGGAGGUGGGAUUCCCAGUGGGAGCCGAACCUGUCGUCAAGAGUCCGUGAGGCAAAGGAAGCCGGCCUGGCCCAAAUGGCAUAGUGCAACGGUCAGAGCCCAGCC